rnacentral:rRNA from 1 species
UACAGAGGGUGCAAGCGUUGUUCGGAAUUAUUGGGCGUAAAGCGCGUGUAGGCGGCUUUGCAAGUCGGGUGUGAAAACCCUCAGCUUAACCGAGGAAGUGCGCCCGAAACUGCAGAGCUUGAGUGCCGGAGAGGAUAGCGGAACACCCGGUGUAGAGGUGAAAUUCGUAGAUAUCGGGUAGAACACCAGUGGCGAAGGCGGCUAUCUGGACGGACACUGACGCUGAGACGCGAAAGCGUGGGGAGCGAACAGG